rnacentral:lncRNA from 1 species
AACUGUCGUUAAACCACUACUGUCAUACUGCUGGUAUUAUUAACAAGAAUCGCUAAAAUAGACAGUAAAUAGGAAAGAUCCAUCAGCAUUUCAAUAAAUCUGGACUUAGUGAGGCAAUAUCGUCCAGCUGCUGACUUUUACCUUCUUGGAAUUAAGACAGAAUGAUAUCGUAUCCAGUGUUAGCAGUUUUCCUACUAUUUGGAUUUAUUGGAAACAUACGGACAGACGAUCAAUUUCUGUGCUGUAUGAAAGGAAUAAAGGCGAUCCGAAACAUUGCCGUUUGUCCAGCACCCUGUUGCUAUGGAUACGAAGAGAGGACAUUCUACGCGUCCAUAAUGUCAAGAAUUACGUUUUGCGAAAGGAAAAAGAAAGAUGACGAAACCACCGAAGACCUUGAAAAGUUAUACACAGCGGAUACAACCGACAAAUAUGACAUUUGAACAGUAAAUUGCGUUACUACAAACUGACUUCAAGAACGUAUUCUCUAACGAUGUUAGAUGAGAACGCCAUUUUAAAAUGCACUGCGAUUUGUAUUUAACGAAAAAUCAAGGACUAUAAAAUUUCUAAAUGAAUUUAAGGAUAUUUCAAAUAAAAAGCAGAAACAGUAUUUUUAUCGGAAGGCGAAUUACAGUUAAAAGUGGGUGGGCUUUAUGGCUGUUCUAUUCAGAUGUUGAAAAUAUCACUAUACUCACAUUUAUGGAAAGCAAACUUAUUUUUGUACCAAACUCUUGAAAGAUGUCAAUGUUAGACCUUAAAGCCCUGCUCCCCGGCUAUUCAAAUUCUUUUGUGUGUAUGCAACCCAUGAUUACAAUAGGUAACAGUUAACGACCACGUGCCACACUUUAGCACGC